UACGAGUGCCCCGAGCGUUAUCCGGAAUCAUUGGGCGUAAAGGGUGUGUAGGUGGCAGUGUUAGUCAGUUGUUAAAACCUGGGCUCAACCCCAGAUGUGCGACUGAAACGGCACAGCUAGAGGAUGGCAGGGAUGUAGUGGAACUCAUGGAGUAGGGGUGAAAUCCGUUGAUAUCAUGGGGAACACCAAAAGCGAAGGCGUACAU
rnacentral:rRNA from 1 species